CGAAACCUCUUCCGUUCUGUGGACGUCACAAGCCAAACACGCCCGAAACGGGGCGAGCGGCUCCUUCUGCCCCGCCCCCUCUCCUGAUUGGCUCUAUUUGAAUAACGGGGCGGUGCAACGGAUGCCGGGAAGUGGAGGGAGCGUUUGAACCUCUCGGUCGGGAAAGCGCGAUGAAGGCGGCGGGAAGAACUAAAACUCCGAGGAAACAUGCAUUUAAAAAAGCGUCUAACAAUAGUUUGAAGGAUCCCGUUGGGGUAUAUUGCCGGAUCCGCCCAGUCGGUGUCCCAAACCAAGAGUGUUGCAUAGAAGUGAUCAGCAGCACAACGGUCCAGGUUCACUCACCUGAUGGGUACCGUAUUGCCCGUAAUGGAGAAUAUAAAGAGGUUCAGUAUUCAUUUAAAGAAGUAUUUGGCACAAGCAUUUCUCAGAAACAUGUAUUUGAUGUGAUUGCUAAACCUCUAGUGGAAGAUCUUAUCCAUGGAAAAAAUGGUCUCCUUUUUACGUAUGGAGUCACGGGGAGUGGAAAAACGCACACCAUGACCGGCUCCCCUGGGGAGGGAGGUCUGCUUCCUCGUUGCUUGGACAUGAUCUUCAAGAGCAUAGGGCCCUUUCAGGCCAAGCGCUACGUUUUCAAACUUGAUGAUAAGAAUGGAGUCGAGGUACAAUGCGAUGUGGAUGCUUUACUUGAACGCCAGAAAAGAGAAGCACUUCCAGUUCCCAAGACACCGGUGGGCAAGCGGCAGAUAGACCCUGAAAUUGCUGACAUGAUUAAUGUGCAAGAUAAUUGUAAACUGGAGGAUGUUGAUGAAGACAGUGUCUACAGCGUGUUUGUGUCUUACAUUGAAAUCUAUAAUAACUACAUUUAUGAUCUUUUGGAUGAAUCCCCUUUUGAUCCCACAAAACCAAAGUUUCCUCAAUCCAAAAUUCUCCGUGAGGAUCAAAAUCACAACAUGUAUGUUGCAGGUUGCACUGAGGUAGAAGUUAAAUCUACAGAAGAAGCCUUUGAAGUGUUUUGGAGAGGCCAAAAGAAGAGGCGCAUUGCACACACUCAACUGAAUCGGGAGUCGAGUCGUUCGCACAGUGUAUUUCUAAUUAAACUGGCUCAGGCUCCUCUCAGUGCAGAUGGAGAUAAUGUUCUGCAGGAGAGAGAGUUAAUAUCCUUGAGCCAGUUAUCACUGGUUGAUCUAGCAGGGAGUGAGAGAACAAACAGAACCAAAGCUGAAGGAAACAGGCUCCGUGAAGCUGGUAAUAUCAAUCAAUCACUGAUGACAUUAAGAACCUGUAUAGAAGCUCUGCGAGAGAACCAAACCUAUGGGACCAAUAAGAUGGUCCCUUACCGAGACUCCAAACUGACUCAUCUUUUUAAGAAUUAUUUUGAUGGUGAGGGUAAAGUACGUAUGAUUGUCUGCGUGAAUCCAAAGGCAGAAGACUACGAUGAGAGUUUGCAAGUCAUGAGAUUUGCAGAAAUCACCCAAGAAGUGGAGGUUGCGCGACCUGCUGACAAACCUCUAUGUGGACUAACUCCUGGUCGGCGAUUUAAGAACCAGGCUUUCACGGAGGAGCUCUCUCGACAGCUAGAAAUCCGAGGUGGACCAGUUGAUGGAGACAGAGGCCCCUGGGUCAGGGAAUUGCUCCUGCAGAGCUUCCCUCCAGUGCCUUCUUGUGAACUUCUGGACAUCAACGAUGACCAGACCCUGCCUCGACUGAUUGAAGUACUUGAAAAGCGGCACCACAUUCGGCAGAAGCUUUCAGAAGAGUUUGCCAAAAAUGUCCUGUGUGUAAAGAACAUGUUGCAAGAACUUGAUGCCAGCAUUGUAUCCAAAGAAAACCUUGCACAAGUGAAAGUAGCUGAAAGAGACAAAAUCAUAACAGGACAGAAAACGGAGAUUGAGCGACUAGAGAAGAAAGCAAAAACUCUGGAAUAUAAGAUUGAUAUCCUGGAGAAAACAACAGCAAUUUAUGAAGAAGAGAAGCGCAAUCUGCAGCAGGAACUAGAAAGCAAGAGUCAAAAGCUUCAGCGUCAAGUUUCAGACAAGCGUAGACUGGAAGCUCGUUUGCAGGGCAUGGUGACAGAGACGACAAUGAAAUGGGAAAAGGAAUGUGAGCGGCGUGUGGCAGCCAAGCAACUGGAGAUGCAGAACAAGCUUUGGGUGAAAGAUGAGAAGCUAAAGCAGCUAAAAGCCAUCGUCACAGAACCUAAGAGUAACAAACCCGAAAGGCCUUCACGGGAAAAGGAUCGGGAGAAAGCUCUGCAAAGAUCCUUGUCACCUCCUCCAGUACCUUUUUCUAGUAACUGUAUCACUCACCUGCCUAACAACCAUGAUCCACCUGCCAGAAGCCAGCCACAGCUGCAUAGGCGUUCAAAUUCUUGUAGCAGCAUUUCCGUGGCUUCCUGCAUCUCGGAGUGGGAGCAGAGAACACCUACUCAGCACAGCAAGCCUCCUGGCAAGGGGGACAGUGGCCUCCCUAGAGCCAGGAGUAGACUACAGGAGCCAGAACAAGCCAGGCCCUGGGUUAUGUCAGACAGAAGGCGAGGCAUGUGCUGGACAGGAGUCCUGACAGCUUCCAGCACUAGAGGGCCCCUAGAGCUAGAAGAGGACUUGUGCUGCAGGAAUGCUCCUCCUGUUCGCCUUCGUCACAGGCGGUCUCGCUCAGCAGGGGAGAGGUGGGUGGACCACAAACCUCCUUCCAAUAUCCAGACUGAAACAGUCAUGCAGCCACACGUCCCCCACGCCAUCAUGGUAACCUCUGCAAACGAGAAAGCACUGGCAAAGUGUGACAAAUACAUGCUGACACACCAGGAGCUGGCCUCUGAUGGGGAGAUCGAGACAAGGCUGAUCAAGGGUGAUGUUUUCAAGACAAGGGGAGGUGGACAGGCUGUUCAGUUCACUGAAAUAGAGACCUUGAAACAAGAAUCACCAACAGGACGCAAGCGGCGAUCCUCUCCGUCAAGCCCUCGCCUCCCCGAGGAGGCUUCCGAGUCAGAAUGGACUGAUGUGGAAACCCGGUGUUCAGUCGCAGUGGAGAUGAAGGCAGGUUCCCACCUUGGACCUGGCUAUCAACAUCACGCUCAGCCCAAAUAAGUGCUGGCUUUGCUGUGGAAGUGAUCUGUUCAGCUCAGGGAAGAACACUGACAGUUGUGCGAGACAUUUUAACAGGCAGGAAACAGGGCAUCCGAGACGCAGGAAACCAUGAAGCUUUGAGAUGUCUGCUGGGGCUACUUUUCCAAAUAAAUUUUCAGGCUACAUAGCUGGCUAUGCUAGAAAGUGACAAAAGGGAAAAUAAAUAAAAAAGUGCUUCUCUUGACCUGCAUCUACAUCAUGACUUUGAGGAAGAUGACCUCAUUUUAUUAUUUUAUGCAUUUCUCUAUCUCUUUGUAAGGUUUUUGCCUCAUUUUUCUUCCCGUGCUUCAACACUUGUUUCCAUGUCUAUCUUUAGGGGACAAUGUAUUAGACUGUUACUAUUUAUUUGUCAUCAUGCACUUUAGUAUCUCUGGGUAGCAUUUUGAAAGUUGCUUUUAGAAGCGGCUGUCUUUUGGGUUUCCUUUAAAACUAUGGUGCUUUCCUCAGGAAUGUUGUAUACAGGAGACAGCUCCACAAUUGACAGUUUUGUUUUCUGCCAUAUAAUUGAAUUAAUAGGAAAGGUUCUUUGCUAUACAGAAUUUCAGUGUAUCAUGAUGAUUAGACAACUUUGUAGUGGCAGACCCACAGCUGUUGUGAUUUCGUCAAUUGAAUUUGCAAAUAAAAAAAUCAUUCAUAGCUUCCUA